rnacentral:tRNA from 1 species
GAGGGUAUAGCUCAGUGGUAGAGCACAAGCUUAGCAUGCAUGAGGUCCUGGGUUCAAUCCCCGGUACCUCCA